CAUAACCUGCCUUCUUAUUCACACAUAUAUAUUGUAGGCAGGUCAUGGUCAACAUGACUGCCUGUCAGCAAGGGUAUAUUCUUCAUUCAACAUUGCUAAUUUUAAGAUAAACUUGUGCCUUUAUUUCCAUCUUCUACGUUAGUGGUUUAAUGGAGCUUCUUCAGCUAUUUCCUAUACUUAUUCCAAAAUUCGUAAUUUUCUUCUUUUGAUAUGAGAUUUUGGUUUCGCAGUCUCCUUUCCGAUAAGGCUUACUGAAGAUUUUUGUUGGAGCUUCCGUUUUCAAUUGAUCCAUCUGAUUUACCAUUUGAAGUGCUUAUUUCGAACCACUGCCAUAGAAUCUCCAAAUGAAGGUCAUUCUCGAGGCAACUAAAGGAUUGACAUGCCUCCAUAGCCCAGAAGCUAAAAUUAUAUAUCAUGAUUUCAAAUUAUUUAUUAUUUUGCUUGCUUCUAUUUGUGAACUCCUACUUUUUCUUGUCCUUUACCUGAGCUCAGUUACAAUCGGAAACCAAGUAUAGGCUGCUCCAUUUUCAUCUGAUUCUCUAUUCAAGAAGUACGAAAAUUCAACGAUGGUGCUACAUUGAUCAAUUUUCACUGUUUUAUGUCAUAUAUCAAACAUUAGAUAGUAUGUUCAUCAAAAUGCAUCAAUGGUGCUAAAUUGAUCAAUUUUCACUGUGUUGUGUUUCCUGCUUUAGAUAGUAUGUUUAUCAAGAGUUUAACCAAUCUUUACAUAUAGGUGUAUCCAAAUUGCUUAAGGCUUGCACAGCUCGAGUGUGUUCAAUAUGAAAUUUAAUAUGAUUUUGAUAUGUUA